AAAACGACUCUCGGCAACGGAUAUCUUGGCUCUUGCAUCGAUGAAGAACGUAGCGAAAUGCGAUACUUGGUGUGAAUUGCAGAAUCCCGUGAAUCAUCGAGUCUUUGAACGCAAGUUGCGCCCGACGCCAUUCGGCCGAGGGCACGUCUGCCUGGGUGUCAC
rnacentral:rRNA from 1 species